rnacentral:rRNA from 1 species
UGGGGAAUAUUGCACAAUGGGCGCAAGCCUGAUGCAGCCAUGCCGGCGUGUGUGAAGAAGGCCUUCGGGUUGUAAAGCACUUUCAGCGAGGAGGAAGGGUUCAGUGUUAAUAGCACUGUUCAUUGACGUUACUCGCAGAAGAAGCACCGGCUAACUCCGUGCCAGCAGCCGCGGUAAUACGGAGGGUGCAAGCGUUAAUCGGAAUUACUGGGCGUAAAGCGCACGCAGGCGGUUUGUUAAGUCAGAUGUGAAAUCCCCGCGCUUAACGUGGAACUG